AUUGAACGCUGGCGGCAUGCCUUACACAUGCAAGUCGAACGGCAGCGGGGGAGAAGCUUGCUUUUCCUGCCGGCGAGUGGCGAACGGGUGAGUAAUACAUCGGAACGUGCCCUGUAGUGGGGGAUAACUAGUCGAAAGAUUAGCUAAUACCGCAUACGACCUGAGGGGGAAAGUGGGGGACCGCAAGGCCUCAUGCUAUAGGAGCGGCCGAUGUCUGAUUAGCUAGUUGGUGGGGUAAAGGCCUACCAAGGCGACGAUCAGUAGCUGGUCUGAGAGGACGAUCAGCCACACUGGGACUGAGACACGGCCCAGACUCCUACGGGAGGCAGCAGUGGGGAAUUUUGGACAAUGGGCGAAAGCCUGAUCCAGCAAUGCCGCGUGUGUGAAGAAGGCCUUCGGGUUGUAAAGCACUUUUGUCCGGAAAGAAAUGGCUCUGGUUAAUACCUGGGGUCGAUGACGGUACCGGAAGAAUAAGGACCGGCUAACUACGUGCCAGCCGCCGCAGUAAAAC
rnacentral:rRNA from 1 species